rnacentral:rRNA from 1 species
UAACUGGAGAGUUUGAUCCUGGCUCAGAACGAACGCUGGCGGCAUGCCUAACACAUGCAAGUCGAACGAGAAAGUACUUCGGUAUGAGUACAG